rnacentral:rRNA from 1 species
UAGCUAGUUGGUGAGGUAAAGGCUUACCAAGGCGACGAUCUGUAGCGGGUCUGAGAGGAUGAUCCGCCACACUGGAACUGAGACACGGUCCAGACUCCUACGGGAGGCAGCAGUGGGGAAUUUUGGACAAUGGGGGCAACCCUGAUCCAGCCAUGCCGCGUGAGUGAAGAAGGCCUUCGGGUUGUAAAGCUCUUUCGGCCGGGAAGAAAUCGCAUGGGCCAAUACCCUGUGUGGAUGACGGUACCGGAAUAAGAAGCACCGGCUAACUACGUGCCAGCAGCCGCGGUAAUACGUAGGGUGCGAGCGUUAAUCGGAAUUACUGGGCGUAAAGCGUGCGCAGGCGGUUUUGUAAGACAGGCGUGAAAUCCCCGGACUUAACCUGGGAACUGCGUUUGUGACUGCAAGGCUAGAGUACGGCAGAGGGGGGUGGAAUUCCACGUGUAGCAGUGAAAUGCGUAGAGAUGUGGAGGAACACCAAUGGCGAAGGCAGCCCCCUGGGUCGAUACUGACGCUCAUGCACGAAAGCGUGGUAGCAAACAGGAUUAGAUACCCUGGUAGUCCACGCCCUAAACUAUGUCAACUAGGUGUUGGGUGGGUAAAACCAUUUAGUACCGUAGCUAACGCGUGAAGUUGACCGCCUGGGGAGUACGGCCGCAAGGUUAAAACUCAAAGGAAUUGACGGGGACCCGCACAAGCGGUGGAUGAUGUGGAUUAAUUCGAUGCAACGCGAAAAACCUUACCUACCCUUGACAUGCCAGGAACUUGCCAGAGAUGGCUUGGUGCCCGAAAGGGAGCCUGGACACAGGUGCUGCAUGGCUGUCGUCAGCUCGUGUCGUGAGAUGUUGGGUUAAGUCCCGCAACGAGCGCAACCCUUGUCGUUAAUUGCCAUCAUUUGGUUGGGCACUUUAACGAGACUGCCGGUGACAAACCGGAGGAAGGUGGGGAUGACGUCAAGUCCUCAUGGCCCUUAUGGGUAGGGCUUCACACGUCAUACAAUGGUCGGUACAAAGGGUUGCCAAGCCGCGAGGCGGAGCCAAUCCCAGAAAGCCGAUCGUAGUCCGGAUUGCAGGCUGCAACUCGCCUGCAUGAAGUCGGAAUCGCUAGUAAUCGUGGAUCAGCAUGUCACGGUGAAUACGUUCCCGGGUCUUGUACACACCGCCCGUCACACCAUGGGAGCGGGUUCCGCCAGAAGUAGGUAGCCUAACCGCAAGGGGGGCGCUUACCACGGCGGGGUUCGUGACUGGGGUGAAGUCGUAACAAGGUAGCCGUAGGGGAACCUGCGGCUG